GACGUAGGGCGCGAGCGUUUGUCCGGAUUUAUUGGGCGUAAAGAGCUCGUAGGCGGCUUGUCGCGUCGACCGUGAAAACUUGGGGCUCAACCCCAAGCCUGCGGUCGAUACGGGCAGGCUCGAGUUCGGUAGGGGAGACUGGAAUUCCUGGUGUAGCGGUGAAAUGCGCAGAUAUCAGGAGGAACACCGAUGGCGAAGGCAGGUCUCUGGGCCGAUACUGACGUGAGGAGCGAAAAGCGUGGAGAGCGAACAGG
rnacentral:rRNA from 1 species